rnacentral:rRNA from 1 species
GAUGAACGCUAGCGGCAGGCCUAAUACAUGCAAGCUGAACGGUAAAUAUUGUAGCAAUACAAUAUGAGAGUAGCGUAAGGGUGCGUAACACGUAUGCAAUCUGCCCUGUACAGGAGGAUAGCUCGGGGAAACCCGGAUUAAUACUCCGUAAUAUUAUUGGGUGGCAUCACCUGGUAAUUAAAGUCACAAGACGGUAUGGGAUGAGCAUGCGUCUGAUUAGCUAGUUGGUAGUGUAACGGACUACCAAGGCGAUGAUCAGUAGGGGAACUGAGAGGUUGAUCCCCCACACUGGCACUGAGAUACGGGCCAGACUCCUACGGGAGGCAGCAGUAGGGAAUAUUGGUCAAUGGAUGCAAGUCUGAACCAGCCAUGCCGCGUGCAGGAAGAAGGCCUUCUGGGUUGUAAACUGCUUUUGCCGGGGGAUAAAAAGUCCAUGCGUGGACAAUUGAAGGUACCCGGUGAAUAAGCCACGGCUAACUACGUGCC